rnacentral:hammerhead_ribozyme from 1 species
ACCUUGGUGACGAGUGUCAAAUAGGACGAAACUUAGGUCCAUGAU